rnacentral:rRNA from 1 species
GCGGAGGAAAAGAAACUAACAAGGAUUCCCCCAUUAACGGCGAGUGAAGUGGGAAUAGCCCAGCACCGAAUCCCUCAGCCUUGCGCUGCCGGGACCUGUGGUGUUUGGGACGACCGCUGUCGUGUUGUUCGGGUGCCCAAGUCCUCCCGAUCGGGGCCUCUCCCACAGUGGGUGUUAGGCCUUUACCGGCACUCGUCGACACGGCUAUGGUCGUCCUCGGAGUCGGGUUGUUUGGGAAUGCAGCCCAAAGCUGGUGGUAAACUCCAUCU